AAACCAACAGGGAUUGCCUUAGUAACGGCGAGUGAAGCGGCAACAGCUCAAAUUUGAAAUCUGGCCCUUUUGGGGUCCGAGUUGUAAUUUGCAGAGGAUGCUUCGGCGUCGGCCCGGGCCUAAGUUCCCUGGAACGGGACGCCUUAGAGGGUGAGAGCCCCGUACGCGGCCUAGCGCCUUCGCCGCUAGAAGCUCCUUCGACGAGUCGAGUUGUUUGGGAAUGCAGCUCUAAAUGGGAGGUAAAUUUCUCCUAAAGCUAAAUACUGGCCAGAGACCGAUAGCGCACAAGUAGAGUGAUCGAAAGAUGAAAAGCACCUUGAAAAGGGAGUCAAAAAGCACGUGAAAUUGUUGAAAGGGAAGCGCUUGCGGUUAGACCCUUUUGCGGGUGCUCAUCCGGGCUUUUGCCCGGUGCACUCUCCCGCGAUCGGGCCAGCAUCGGUUCCGCGCGGCCGGAUAAAAGCUCCGGGAAUGUGGCUCCUCUCGGGGAGUGUUAUAGCCCGUUGUGUAAUGCGGCCAGCCGGGACCGAGGUCCGCGCUUCGGCAAGGAUGCUGGCGUAAUAGCUGCAAGCGGC
rnacentral:rRNA from 1 species